rnacentral:sRNA from 1 species
AAAAAAUAAAGAAAAACCAAAAAAAAAAAAGAGGAAUGUAACACGAGGACUUUUUUGGGAGGUCACCCAUCCUAGUACUACUCUCGCCCAAGCACCCUUAACUGCGGAGUUCUGAUGGGAUCCGUUGCAUUAGUGCUGGUAUGAUCGCAUGUGUUACUACAUGCAAUGUAAUCGUAUCUAUUCUUUCUUAAAGACUUUAUGAUCCAUUUGCCGUGAGUCCCACCAGCUAUGUAGGAAUACCCUAUCUUCUUUAUAAGAGCUUUGAUACAUGCAAAAUAUUGGAAAAAAACGUCCGAACAUAUAGUUUUCCCCCCGUAAUAUAGUAAAGAUCACGAAAAGGCUCGAAAAAGUACAUUUAGUUCAAAAUUUGGAGUAGAAAAAAAAAC